UCGAUAAUUGAAUCGAGGAGUUCCGAAUACCUGAGCAUGCGCAUAUAUUUAAAACUAACUGCGCAUGCGCAGAUUACGGAAGUAGCUGUGUUUGGACACUUUGUAUUAGCAGUGAGGAAAUUCGGAAACACAAAAAGCAAAUGCAAGUUCAGAAACCACUGAAAGUGAACAUCAGUGGAACUUUGAUGAUCUAGGCCACUCUAUUGUUGCAGCAACACCAGCAGGCGUCGGACAUUCAUAAAGUUGAAAGAACAAACCUAUGACUUGAACACACAAUUUGUGAUCUGAAUAUAGUUCACAAAUUUAAGGAAAGCAACUAUUAAAGACAUCCAGAUCGGUGGUAUACAUGAAGUAUGAGUUAAAGGCUUUUCAGAAGAACAAGCACAAUCCCGAUUCAUUUUUGCCAUUGCCUUCUCCAAACGGCGACAUUCAGGACCUGACUUACUUUUCAGAAAAAGAAGAUGAAUCGAUUUUUGAAAGUUAAUCUAAAAAGAUAACAUUUACAUGGGUCGUGGAUUUGAAUUACAUUUUCUUGAUGGGCAACUAGUUUCAAGUAUUUGGAUGUCUAUUCUCAAGUUACUGCAAACCUUAAAUUAACUUCUUGAUUAUUAGUUAAAUGUGAGACCGUGUUAACUUGAAGUAAUCAUUUUUUGAAUUGAGCUAUGUAAUCUCUGAUUACUUAUGUUUAUGAGUAGUGUUCAGCUUUAAGACAAAAGGAUCCUUUAUGAACAUUGCAUUCGGCAUGGCGAAUUUCUAUACAUUAACAGUCAUAGUUUUCGUCUUUUUUAAUUAGCGAUCUCAUUUUAAAUGUGAGAAAUAAUUAUUAAACUGAAAUGUACAUUUAUGUUGUUUGAUUUUAAUUUUUUGAAAAUUAUAAAUCAAUUGCAUGUUGGUUUUUUUUUUUUUCAUUUUAUUUUAGGGGAUGGGAGUGGGGGUGCAGCUCUAAGUUUGAGUAUAUUUUCCAAAAGGAUGUACAUUGUUAUUUUUGUUUUAAGAUCAAUUUUAAAAUGCAAAAUGAUGAGAUAUUAGACUACACUUUUUUUCUUAAAACUUCAUUUUAAUUAAUAUAUUUUGUUUAAAAUAAGUAGCAAUAACAUGCAAGUUUUAAAGUUAUUUGACAACUCACUAUAUACUUGGUUUUUUUUUUACAUCUAUGAAGAUUGUCUCAAAUUUUGAGGUUUUUUUUCUGUGUUCUACAUUUAUUGACAUGUUUCUUGUCUGUGUUCAACUUGUCGAGUAACUGAAAAGUUUGAUUAAAUUUUUUUUAAAAAAAUCAGGAUCAUCUCUUUUAUUUAUUAUUAUUAAUUUACAAUGAAAUUAUGUAUGCUUUUGAUGCAUAAUGUACACUUCAAAUUCAUGCACCAGCAGAUUCAAAGGAAAAAUUAUCAUUAGAAAUAAGCAGUAAAGAUAAAGAGAUUAUCCAAUUUAAAAUAGUUUGAAAAAUAUUUAAAACAAAUUUUCGAGUAUGUUAUCAAAAUAGGAAAAAGUAUUAUGAGUAUUGUUUGGUAUUUUUAAUAGUAAAAAAAGGAUAUGACGUACUGGCAAUCGCAUCAUCUCACUCAGGGUCUUUCCGUCAGAGUUCGGAAAAACAACCUCGAAUGUAUUAACAUCACCUGAUGUUAAAGGUUUUGCUUUUCUUGUUUUUUUUUCAAAUAUAGGAUAGAGGAAGUAAGAAGUCCCUUUUAUAAUAUAUUUUAUGUAAUAUCAUAGCAUUGAAUAAAGUUAAACUCCAUAUUCCACAGAUAAAAGGUCUUCAU